ACUGUCUCUGCAUCUGCUUGAGGAACAACCCUGGGACACAGACAGGACAAGGCACACACCUGAUGAGCCCACACAUCUGCAGGAGGAAGAACCGGAAGUCCUCCCAUGAGGGAGAUGCCAACAGUGCUCUUGGGAAAAACAGUUCCUCCCAGUGGAUGGAAGGUCUUCUGGAAAAGCCUGAGGCAAAGCGGGUAAUGCGGGAACAUCCUGCCCUGUUUGGUCUGCACGGACCUUCCAAUUUGCGCAAGGCAGCUAGGCAAUGAACAUCAAAAGCUUUCAAUUGUUUUAGCCCUGUACAGAUUCCUAAUAAAAUGUUCUUAUAAGCAAGGA